ACAUAACUAUAUAUAUAUGUCU
rnacentral:snRNA from 1 species